rnacentral:rRNA from 1 species
UGAGCAAAUCCUUAAAAGUCGGUNGUAGUCCGGAUUGGAGUCUGCAACUCGACUCCAUGAAGUCGGAAUCGCUAGUAAUCGCGAAUCAGCAUGUCGCGGUGAAUACG